rnacentral:ncRNA from 1 species
CUCUAGUCCGACUUUGUGAAAUAACUUAAGGGGUGUAGAAUAAGUGGGAGCUUCGGCAACGGUGAAAUACCACUACUUUUAACGUUGUUUUACUUAUUCCAUUACUUGGAGGCGGGACUCUGUCCCUGCUUCUUGCGCAAAUGGCUCAUUAAACAGCGAUUACCAGCUCAAUCAUGUUAAUGGGAUAAUAUGAACCCGUUGAUGGUGUGACCUAUACCGUCCUAUGCUGUCCGUUAACAUGCCGUUAACGGACCAUCAACCCCUGCUGUCAGCUCUCAUAUGCACUUCGAAUGGCAGACUCCCUCGUACACAGAG